GCCCGCCGCUUGUCACACUGCGCUUAUCAGGCGGUGAGGAGGGUACAGACAGCGCAGGAGGGGCGAGGUGGCAUCAGUACGCCGCAUUCAAGCCUUACAGCUUGGUUCGUACUAAGCAGCGAGCUCUCGCCCUUCCUCACGUUGUCCUUCCUCACAUAAAACAUUCCUGCGAGUUAGGAUCGAAUCACCUAGUUUCAUCGCUGCAGCUGCUUCGAGGCUGUGGAGUAGCUUGUGAGUCAGGGCCCGAGCAGGUUCAGGCACGGCUGGAGCAGGUGUGCAGCUGCAUCAUUUUCUUCAAGUGCCCUGCAUUGGAGCUGCUCAGCUGCGUGUGACACGGCUCGUUUUCAUGCUCACACAGCCGAGUCUCUUAGCACCGGUGUGUGGGACUGCCAGUGUAGAGCAAUGAGACAGUUUCCCACAGAUUUCACAAGGCACACGCUUACACUUUCUUAUUUCUCUCUGAAGGUGAAGCACUGUUUGGUAUUUUGUUUUUGUUUUUACUAAGAAGAGUAGUAAGGAGUCAACACUGAGUCAGAUGUUGAAAGCUGCCUUGAAGUCAGCUGUAUCUGCUGUAAGACAGUACAACGAAGGACUACUGCAAUGACCAAAAACUUUAGCAAACAAGUAAAGCUAUGUUUUUCCUCAAGCAAACAUAGGUUGCUGUGAAGCUGCUGUAGCUCUGCAAGUAAAAAGGGAAGGAGACCUCAGAGCUGGACAAUCUCCUCUACCAUCAGCUGUGCAGGAUGGGAUCUUUCUGAGGUGCCUGGUUGAGCCAGGAGACCUGAACCACUGGCAAAAGGAAUGAGGGAAGUGUCCUUUGUUUGCAGGAGAGAUCUGAAGCUGAAGGAGAAGGGCACUGCCAUGUUACAAACUGUGAUUCUUUAAGGUGAAAGGAUUUGAAGGAACACUGGAACUAGACAAAAGGUAACAGACAUCAGUUGUGUGGAGGACCAAUGUGCAAUGCAUAUCUCUUCUGUGAAAUGGACAGAUACAGGCUCUGGUAGGCUUUUGGGUAUAAAUCUCAUUAAAUCCACUCACACACUUCUUUCAGAGGAAGAUGGACAUGUAUUCAGGGAGAUGUCACUGGCUUUGAAGACAUUACUUAAAUAAAUUUAAGUUGUUUAAAAGCAACUUUUAAAGUUGUUUGCAACAAAACAAUUACACUGUUUUCCAAUCAUAAGCUACUCUUCCUUAUAGUUAUAAAACACUAGUUACUUUCAUCAAGCACAACCAUAAGAUACAUUUUUCUUGUUAACCGUAUACCUAAUAACAUAAUUUUUCUGUUGAAGAUCAACUUGACCUUUGAUUAAAACAAUACCUGAGGGUAGCUAUUUAGUGUGUUAAGAAGUGGCAAUGCAGUAACAUUGGCAGAAAUAAGAAAAUUGAGGCUUCCCUUUUGUUAGUGUAAAAAAUUUCUAUGACUGAGUAACAUCCCAUCAGAUAAUUCCAUAAAGCAGUUAUUUUACUUGCGACCUGCAUUCUUAAAACUUGGAUGCUAAACUUAAAGUAUAUGAAGGCAAGUUCUACACAUUUGCUGAAAGUGUAUACUUUUCAAAGAAUCUUUGGCAAGGCAUUUAUACCCGCAUGUAAACUCCAGUUCUUUAAUUCUUAUGUUUGCUGAGUACCUAUGAAGGAUUAUUGACUACAGAGGACAGUCAUUCUGUAUCUUUAGGCCUGUGCUGCAAACAGCGUGGCAUUGGCAUUGUAAUCUGAGCAAUUAAAAUGCAUAAAUAAUUGAGUACAUGGAAUGUCUCAGGCUAAAAUAGACCCACUAAGCAUCCUAAACAGUUAGCUUCACUGAAAUCAGAAGCAAAGUACCCAGUAUUCAAACAAGAAAUGCUAGCGUAUUGUCUGCAUGGUAUAUCCAAGUUAAAAAUUAAAGAAAAUCAAACCUUGGACUACAAUCUGAGAUAGGCUGAGUCCUAAAUGAGAAGAAGGAAGGAAAGAAUGAUACAAUCCAAUAACUGAAUUCAAAGGCCCCAGUAGGUUUCAGACUCAGCAUGGAAACAUCCAGGGAGAGAGGAGCCCAAACUUGCUUUUGCAAUAAAAAAAUAAAGGGGCGAACCUUACAGAAGGAAAGGAGUGAUGACAGAGCUGAUUUGUUUGUGUUAAACUUGUCUUUCAGCCGAGCAGAAGACCUAGCUGGCUUUGGUGGAGUUCUGCCAAAAUAGAACCUCAUUAGGCACAGAAUAGGAUUUCAGAACUUUAGUCUCAUUGAUGUACUUCAUAGCCCUUGGGAAAUUGUUUUAACCACCUGUUUCCCUUAGGAAGCAUCCCUAUAAUGGUAUGGUAUGAUUUUUACUUUAUGUUGUGUAGAUUUGGUAAAGAACAUUCCUUCCUAAAAACUUUCAGCAUAGUCUUGCAUUGCUUAGUGCUGACAUGAAAUAAAAUAUCAGCAGUUCAGGACUCUCGCUGCUUUUCUGGGGAGGGGGUGAGGAGGGGGGUGUUCAUGUUUACUGUUGUUUUAUUAUAAUAGCCAUGAUAGUACAUGGAAUGCUUUAGUUCAGAAAAAAAUGAUCACUCAGUUAUUUUUUUUAUUAACAUUCUUGGGGCAUAUCAGUCAGAUCAUACUAACUGUAAAACCUUAAGCGAUGAGCAAUGAACCCUAUGGAGAACCUAGGUGAAUCCUGCUUUGCAUAGCAUUCUGAUGUGGAGAAGCAUGACAAGCAACAUUUUCAGAAGGUUUGCUGAUGCUGUGACCUUCAACAUCUGGGGGAUUUGCAGUGUGCUAGGCCCUAGUAAAACAGCUUAGUUUUCUGUUGGCAGAUGAUAUGCCUUUAAAAAAGCAAUGCCAACUGGAAAUGCUGACCACAAGCCCUUAGAAUUUGUUCACAUCUUGAGUCUUAAAGGAUGCUGAGGACUUGCAGCCUUGGUUCUUUACUGCUGAGAGCUACUUCCCCUUGGGACUUUUUAAAGCUAGCAUGAAUUUCAAGCUGAGUGUCCAAAAAUGAGCUUUCUGGGGGCUCAGCCUAUCUUCCUGCUUGGCUUUUAUGCACCAUGUAACAUUAAAAAGGUCUGGAUCCGAGUGUCCUCUGCAGCCUCCUACUGCCAUGUAUUACACAAAAGUGCUGGAAGGUACAACCUUUUCACACAAUUCUCUUAAAAUUAUAUUGCCUGUUAAGUAAAAUGUUAACUUCUGCACAGAGAUUAUCAGCAAAGCAGAAUGAAGGAUAAGGAAGUGCAGCAUUGCCCAAGCCAUCCAUUUGAAGAUGAUGCCAAAGUCACAAGAUUUGUUUAAAGUAUGUAAUAAUUUGGGGUUCUUCUCUAUUUGCCUUUCUGUCUAGGAAUUAAAAUUUUUCAGCUUUAGAUCUUUAACCAGGCUGAUGAAAGAUUACUUUUAUCAAGGGAGUUAAAGGUCAUGUGCAGUCAUCUGAUUGCACGAGUCAGCCUUCAGAAAUGCCAGCAUUGCAUGAUUUAGCAAUAUGGCAUAGCGUUAUUGUUCUUUUGAAUUGCUUUUCAGCACCAGGGAAGGAAUGUAUUUCUAAUAAUUCUUCCCAAGAAAAUUAGAAAAAAAAAUGUUGCUCUAUCCUCAAGGAAUGAUAAUGAUUCUUCUUUCUAGCCAUAGGGAGAUUGCAUUUUACAGCAUGAGGGUGGUAAGAUGCUUCUUAUUAACACCAGCGACAGGACCCGCGGGAACGGAGUUAAGCUGAGGCAGGGGAA